CCCAGACUCCUACGGGAGGCAGCAGUGGGGAAUAUUGCACAAUGGGGGGAACCCUGAUGCAGCGACGCCGCGUGAGUGAAGAAGUAUUUCGGUAUGUAAAGCUCUAUCAGCAGGGAAGAAAAUGACGGUACCUGACCAAGAAGCCCCGGCUAACUACGUGCCAGCAGCCGCGGUAAUACGUAGGGGGCAAGCGUUAUCCGGAUUUACUGGGUGUAAAGGGAGCGUAGACGGCAGCGCAAGUCUGGAGUGAAAUGCCGGGGCCCAACCCCGGAACUGCUUUGGAAACUGUGCAGCUCGAGUGCAGGAGAGGUAAGCGGAAUUCCUAGUGUAGCGGUGAAAUGCGUAGAUAUUAGGAGGAACACCGGUGGCGAAGGCGGCCUGCUGGACUGCAACUGACGUUGAGGCCCGAAAGCGUGGGGAGCAAACAGGAUUAGAUACCCUAGUACG
rnacentral:rRNA from 1 species